CCCUUAGAUGUUCUGGGCCGCACGCGCGCUACACUGACGAAGUCAGCGAGCAUGUCCUACGCCGACAGGUGCGGGGAAUCUUGUCAAACUUCGUCGUGUUGGGGAUUGAUUUUUGAAAUUCUUGAUCAUAAACGAGGAAUUCCUAGUAAGCGCAAGUCAGCAGCUUGCGUUGAUUACGUCCCUGCCCUUUGUACACACCGCCCGUCGCUACUACCGAUUGAAUGGUUUAGUGAGAUCUUCGGAUUGGCGCCACUGCAGCUCAGCAAUGGGCUUGGUGGAUGCCGAAAAGUUGAUCAAACUUGAUCAUUUAGAGGAAGUAAAAGUCGUAACA
rnacentral:rRNA from 1 species